CGUGUAGGCGGUCAAGUAAGUGGGAUGUGAAAUCCCUCGGCUCACCCGAGGACCUGCAUCCCAAACUGCUUGGCUUGAGUAUGGGAGAGGAUGAGGGAAUUCCUGGUGUAGCGGUGAAAUGCGUAGAUAUCAGGAGGAACACCGGUGGCGAAAGCGCUCAUCUGGCCCAAUACUGACGCUGAGGCGCGAAAGCUAGGGAGCAAACG
rnacentral:rRNA from 1 species